rnacentral:rRNA from 1 species
GAUGAACGCUAGCGGCAGGCCUAAUACAUGCAAGUCGAACGGGAUCCAGAUCAAAGCUUGCUUUGGUUUGGUGAGAGUGGCGCACGGGUGCGUAACGCGUGAGCAACCUACCCUUGUCAGGGGGAUAGCCCGGCGAAAGUCGGAUUAAUACCGCAUGACAUCAUUGAGAGGCAUCUUUCGAUGAUCAAAGAUUUAUCGGACAAGGAUGGGCUCGCGUGACAUUAGCUAGUUGGUAAGGUAACGGCUUACCAAGGCUACGAUGUCUAGGGGCUCUGAGAGGAGAAUCCCCCACACUGGUACUGAGACACGGACCAGGCUCCUACGGGAGGCAGCAGUAAGGAAUAUUGGUCAAUGGACGGAAGUCUGAACCAGCCAUGCCGCGUGCAGGAAGACGGCCCUAUGGGUUGUAAACUGCUUUUAUACGGGAACAAACGUCGGUACGUGUACCGGUCUGAGUGUACCGUAAGAAUAAGGAUCGGCUAACUCCGUG